rnacentral:tRNA from 1 species
GCCCCCGUAGCUCAACUGGUAGAGCAAUUCCCUUUUAAGGAAGAGGUUCUGGGUUCGAGACCCGGCGGGGGCA